rnacentral:lncRNA from 10 species
ACGGCUCAGGGACCAUGAGCUCCCUUCCCUCAGCUCACACAGAAGACCCAGGUUCAAUUCCUGAUGUGUGUGUGUUCAUUUUCCUUUAUUCUGGUGAUGUCAUAAAUCAUUCCGUAAUGUGAUAUACCUGCUCAUAUCCACUGCCUGUUUUUAGAGAAGAGGCAUCCAGAAUGGCAGAAAGAUGCAUGGCAAUGUCCUCAUUGUGUCAGGCGUGGCUUGGGUCCCUGUACCCUACUGAAGAAAUUUGAAGGUGCCACAGAAGAGAACCCAAAACAAGCCACAGAAAUGAGCCAAAGUAAUUAAAGAAUGUUACCAUGUUACCUACCAUGCCUCAGGCAUUGAGCUAAACGACCAGGCUACAAAGAUGCACAGAGAUGCCUUACCUUGAAGAGUUCAAGACCUGGGGUACAGAAUGGCCAGGGGCACAAGACAGC